rnacentral:rRNA from 1 species
CGAUUCAACCCGACCGAUGUACACAUUCUUGAGUGCCUAC